ensembl:lincRNA
CUUGGGAAGAGAGCUUGGGCCUGGGUUCCCCGGUGACUGGGGACACAGGGUGGUGGUGGCUGCAGCAGGAGCGUUAAGCCCCCGGCUUUGUCCCCAGGGAGAGAGGGAGGCUUGUCUUGGGGCAGCGUCCUGGCACCACGGAGCUGGGGGUUAACUCAGAGCCAUGAUCCCCCUCAGGUCGCCUGCAAAGUACCCUGGGGCUGAACUCACGGGGGAUUUUGGGGGAGCUGACUUUCGUCAGAUCUUCAAAGGGAUCCUUGAACUAAGAGACCAGGUCCACAGCCAAGGAGGGAAGUAG